rnacentral:rRNA from 2 species
UUUGAACGAGUGGCGGACGGGUGAGUAACACGUGGGUAACCUGCCCUUAAGUGGGGGAUAACAUUUGGAAACAGAUGCUAAUACCGCAUAAAUCCAAGAACCGCAUGGUUCUUGGCUGAAAGAUGGCGUAAGCUAUCGCUUUUGGAUGGACCCGCGGCGUAUUAGCUAGUUGGUGAGGUAACGGCUCACCAAGGCAAUGAUACGUAGCCGAACUGAGAGGUUGAUCGGCCACAUUGGGACUGAGACACGGCCCAAACUCCUACGGGAGGCAGCAGUAGGGAAUCUUCCACAAUGGACGCAAGUCUGAUGGAGCAACGCCGCGUGAGUGAAGAAGGCUUUCGGGUCGUAAAACUCUGUUGUUGGAGAAGAAUGGUCGGCAGAGUAACUGUUGUCG